UUCAUUAAAAAAAUUCCUUGAGAGGCAAAGUUUACCGUCAAAUUUAGGCUCUCCUUUUUAUCUUCUGACUAACCUCGCCUCCACUAACUCGAGGCUCAAACCAGGGUUUUCAAAUCGGAAUCGGUGGCGUUGAGCCUUAGCAAACACUAACAAUGGCAACGACAACAAGCAGAAAGAAGGAAUCCGUCACCUACAUUUCAAGAGCCACUUUUUCUUUGUGAUUUUUGGAAGGCAGGAAAGAUUGAGGUCGGUUUGAUGGCUGUACAUACCAAAACAAACCCAUUUUUUGUCGCAUGGGAUGGAUCUUAUUUAUGUUUAAUGUCACAACCUUGUUUAGUAUAUAUCUUUAUGUAAGCAUUUUGCUUAGCAAUUGCUAUUUCAUUCCAGAAAGUAUUUGGUAUGAUACAUUCAUAGUUAGGUUAAUAUUCGUCAAAGCCAUCAUAAAUUUUUUUUCUUUAAUGACGGUGCGAGAAAAGUUUUGAAGUUGAAUGGAAUAGCUUCUUCAUACAAUGCAAAAAUAGUUUGA